rnacentral:rRNA from 1 species
GACGAACGCUGGCGGCGUGCCUAACACAUGCAAGUCGAACGAGUGGCGAACGGGUGAGUAACACGUGGGUAACCUGCCGUUGACUGCGGGAUAAGCUUGGGAACCUGGGUCUAAUACCGGAUAGUACAAGAUGAGCCCGGGGGCGAUAAGCUUGUUGGUGGGGUAAUGGCUACCUAGGCGCGACGGGUAGCCGGUCUGAGAGGGUGUACGGCCACAUUGGAACUGAGAUACGGCCCAGACUCCUACGGGAGGCAGCAGUGGGGAAUAUUGGACAAUGGGCGAAAGCCUGAUGCAGCCAUGCCGCGUGUGUGAAGAAGGUCUUCGGAUUGUAAAGCACUUUCAGUGGGGAGGCGUUACCGACAGAAGAAGCACCGGCUAACUCUGUGCCAGCAGCCGCGGUAAUUC